AUGGACCUCAGUCUCAUUUUUUUCUUUUGGAGGUAUUUGGAGCUCUUCAUCACACAUGACAGAUUAACCAGAUAUCCUGAGGACCUGUGGAAUUUGCACCUGUGGGAGCAUCCCAGGGUUCCAUGGCUGGACUCAAAUGGCAAGACUCUGGUUUCGAAGAGUAGUUUGGAGAGGAAUGUGAAGCACCCUACUUCUCAGCAGAAAGAGAAAACAAAAGAGGAAGAAGAUGAGGGAUAGAGAGAGGAGGAGACACAUGGAAGAGAAGCCUGCUCGGCUGCAGACAGAGAAGAGAAAUCACUCCUGGGAUGGGAAGUUCUUAUUUAUCUAAAAACUGGAGGAAAGCAAAUUCUUGUAAGUAGAAGAAGAACAUGCUAUAUUUUAAAAUAUCUGCAUUAUGUAGUUAGGAACACAGAGAUUCCACAUUUUUUGUAACUCGAAACCAAGAGGUUUUAGAUAAUGACAUGUGUAUCCAUUCCAGAGCAGACUUAUGUGUGACAGAUGACAAUGUGAGAGACGGUGUAUAAGGAUGGUAGAAAAUGAAUAAUGUGACACAAGGAUGAAUCCAUAUUAUCAGUGCACCAGGCACCACUCUUGCUGAGGCACUGUUUUCUUUUGUAAGAUAUCUUAUAUCUCUGAUUGACUAUAAUUUUUCAAACAGUUAUUACAGAUUAUUUACUCACAUUUGCUGCUUAUUGUAUCUACUUUUUUCUCUGUGUUUGGAGGUUUGCGGCUAUUCAAACCAAGCAGGUGCAUCCUUAGUAUAACAUCACUUACUUUGAGUUCUAAUACUCUAAGAGGUACAUGUUUAAUGUUUUUUUUUUUGUCAGAUCAAAUGAAAAGGUCCCUUUUGUUGCCUUCAGCAUUUCUCAUAAGCCUCAGCCCAUUUUUUACUUUGAUCUUCUAGAUUCAUGUCAGUCUGUUUUAUUUCUCUUAGAUUGUAUGCUCCUAUCCUUUUUAAAAUAUGUGCCUGUGAAACUUUGUCCCCUUGGGGACCCCCUGUGCAGCCAUCUGGGUUCUUGAUGCUCUUUCCCUUGCUCUUACUAAUUGGAAUCAUGGGCUAACCCAGGUCUUGUCAGUUACACAGCUGCUUUUUCAACAUGUCUGAUCCUUACUGCCUUCUUUCCUUCCCAAAUUUUUGUGACAAGAAUGUUCUCUUAUAGAGAAAAAACGAAUUCUCAGUAAUUAAAGUGUCAUAAAUACCUCAUGUUUGUUACAGUUUAUAAUAUAUAUAUUUGGGUAUAGUUUUCAUUGAAUUCCUUUAUUUUCUGCUAGUUUGUUCAGCCAAGUUGUUUACCAUCAUAAAGGCAUGAUUGAGGUAGGAUGGUAAAUGGAUUGAAAUUGUCAAAGGAAUAACUUCAAAAAGGUUUUGGACAUUCAAAUAAAAGAAAAAGUAAAGAACCUUCGGGUAACUCU
rnacentral:lncRNA from 13 species